GGCCCAUCGGUCCAGCCUGGAGUGGACGCUGCCCUGUCACGGCGGAGAGCACCGGUUCGAAUCCGGUAUGGGUCG
rnacentral:tRNA from 1 species